GGGGGGUUAGCUCAGUGGGAGAGCGCCGGAAUCGCACUCCGGAGGUCGAGGGUUCAAAUCCCUUACCCUCCACCA
rnacentral:tRNA from 1 species